rnacentral:misc_RNA from 1 species
GAAAUGCGAUAAGUAAUGUGAAUUGCAGAAUUCCGUGAAUCAUCGAAUCUUUGAACGCACAUUGCGCCCUCUGGUAUUCCGGGGGGCAUGCCUGUCCGAGCGUCAUUGCAAACCCUCAAGCACGGCUUGUGUGAUGGGCCCUCCCGCGUCUUGGUCGUCAAGACGGGCCCGAAAUGCAGUGGCGGCUUCGCGGUUAUCCGAUCAGCCAGAGCGUAUGGGGACUCUCUCUCUUGUCACACGCCCGCGGCGCGGACCGACGCCUGUCGACCUUUAUUCAUCUUCUCUCGGUUGACCUCGGAUCAGGUAGGGAUACCCGCUGAACUUAAGC